GUCGCCCCAACGCUCAUACACCCGAGCCCUGACGAGUGUACGUCGGGUUACUGUUGUCUCAUUUGCAACAUCAAGGUCAUUUAGUUGUAGAUACGUUAGAUCCUCUCUAGCCCUUUGGCUCAGCGUUCUGCACCUAUUCAGUCGUCGACGUGGAACUGCGCCUGCCAUCGAUACGUGAUUCGGAUGUCGUUCAUCCGAAAUUACUUUAAGAUAAUAGUUUACAGCAGCCUGUUUACGACGGAGGGCUAGAGGAAGGAUGUUCGCCUCGACGUGAAGCGCAGCGACCGGACUCGUUGGAAAAGCUCCGAGGGAAUACCGUAUGGCGAGGUUUUGGAUUUUAUCGAGAUUCCCAAGCAUCGCACUGUUGUCACAUGUCAGAUAAGCACAGCACCCAUAAUCAAUUCUCGAUAAAAUUAAGGCCUUGUAGACGUCGAGUAACGUCUUUGGGUGAGCUCCCCACUUAUGGUGGGCCAGGACCCUAAUGACAUUUAAUGAUUUCCUACACUUUGUGACAACAUUCUGUAGAUGCUUGGACCACCGCAGUUCCCUGUCAAAGAACGGGGUCAUAGUGUGGUCUUCGGAGUCGACAAAAAUGAACCACCUUCGUCUUUUCCUCAGACAAAACUAUACGCACAGCGGAACCAACGGUUUUUCC